CAGAGAGAAAGAGAAGAGGAAGGAGGAAACAGGCAGCUCCCCUGCUGCGAAUGCUCGUUUUUAGGUCUCAGUCUGUCUCUCUCGCUGUCAGGUUGUUGAACUGUGUUUCCAAGGCUAAGUAAACAAGUGGGGAGACUGAUUCCUUUCCAUAACGCCUGGAUUCUGGGCAGCUUUGCACCCCAGCUGCAUCUGUAGUAUAUUUUUAACCUGAAGGAUCUGUUUGGAAAAGCUUAUCUAUGCUGCAAUAUUUAUGGUCGGCACUACUCCACUUCUUUUGGUAGAAGAAACAAAGUGGUGAAGAAUGUCCUAGUCUUCAGCACAUUUAAUUUUUGAGCUGUGGUAGAAACACUAACGAAGGCAUCUUUUAGUGCUGUUUUCCACAUAUUGGCAGCAGAUGGCAGCUCCAGGGUCCUCUCCAGCUUGGUUCUAGCUCUCGGAGUGAGUGCUCUGCAUUCUUCACCAAGACAGUAGGACUCCAGCUCCUGGCAUUCCUCGCACCACAUCCAGCAGUAGCCAAUACGCUUCUCCAGUCAUUGCGUAGUGUUGGGGGCACGAGUCCAGAGUGAAGCAAAGUCUCCUACGUCUCUUCCAAAUUCACCUUCCAGUAAGUCACUCAGGGUCCUUAAAAUAAGAGAGACUUUGAGAGGAAAACUGGUGAAGAGGAAGCGAAGGGGGACAAUUGCUGACUGAAAGAAUGGGAAAGAGCAAGCUUCACCAUUACGGCUGCCACCUGCACCAUCUCCUCGGACCCACUAUAACAUCAUUGGGCCUUCAUUGUCCUGUUCCCAAGAGAUGUCUUCACUGGAACAUGCCAAGAGAGGGACCCAGAUGACAUCUCCAUGGACUAUGGCAGAAUCGCAGCUACCACCUGAGACAUAACACACACACACACUCUCUCUCUCUCUCAUGUACAUCCACCAUGUGUCCUUUUCUUUCCCCACCUUUAUUUUUUUUCUUUUCUCUCAUUCUCUCUCUUUUUGCCUUCUAUUUAAGAGUGUGGCUUAGUUGGCCAAGACUAUGUAUUUUGCACACUGCUGUAAGGCUGUCAUCAGAGAGGCAACCAAAAUAAUACCCUAAGCAGUCCGAUGCUGGUACAAGUUUGUCAGGUCUAAUAGUGGCUAAUAAGAUCGUGUGCUAUGCCUGUGUUUUUCUAGUAGUGAGGUUGCAAGUGAGAGUCAGUACUAGAAACAGAAGCUGCAUUUUCUGUCUUUGCUUGUCUUUUCUUUCCCCUUUUGUGUGUGUUUGUUUUGUCUUGUCUUUAGGAGAUAGGAUUGGAUUUUAACAGCAACAGCCAUGACAGCUCCAGCCCAUCUCAACUAACUUCUUCUCUUUUCUCUAAAAAGUGUUAUCACCAUCUUUAAUACCAUCUGGAGACUGUCAGCUAAGUGGCAGUUACUGCUAAAAACUCUCUCCAGCUGAAGAAAAAAGGAACAAGGGAUGUUGUUAAAAUGAAGACCUGACUUAAUACUUUACAUUUCAGUUGCUUUAACUCUUUUUUCCUUCUUUUUCUGUAUCUUAAAUAAAAGGUGACCAAGAUUUUUAAUGGCGUGUUUGCUAUGGUACUAAGCAGGCUGUGUCUAUAUACCAAACCAUGAACGUUGUUGGACAGUUACAGGGUUAUAUUAACAACUUCAACUCUUUGGACCAUUUAUUCCAUCUAAACUAAUAUCACUCUUAUACCACUAACUAGGUUCCACCAGUGGUAGAAAAAAUGGGAGCAGUAGUGUAGAAAUGAUUCCAACAGCUGCUGGUGUAUUCAACAAUUUCCUGGUCCCACUGAAAGCCAAUGGGCGUUUUGCCAUUGAUUUCAAAGCAGCCAGAAUUUCACGCUGGAACUUUGUCUACACUCCAUCGUUGCUGCUACAGGUGCAGUGGAACUUGGGAGUAGUAACAGUGAAUAAUUUUAGCAAAAACUUUUAUUUCUCUUUGUGUUUUUAUUAAUCUUAGCCUAUUGGCCUUUUUUAGUUUUUGACCCUCAUCGGUUUGCUAGUAAUACAGAGCCUGAUGGAUGCCUAUUGACAUUUUCAAAAGUGAAUAUAUACCUAGACAAAUUCAGAAUGGAAAUAAGGUGUACAUU